AUAAUUACUUAAUAUGAUUAUUUAGUUAAUAUAUAUUUUCAUUACCUUUUACAAUAUUCUUAGCUAAUAAAUUUUUAAAUUUAUUAAAUUAUUUUUAAUUAAUAUUUAAUAUUAAAUAAUUUGAUAAAAUAUUAUUAAUUUAAAAUUAUAAUUAUUUUUAUUCCCACUAGUUAUUCCAAUCUAAUCAUAUAAAUACUAUUUACUUUAUUUUUAAAAAUAAUUAAAUUUUUAUCUAAAUAAAAUUUUACUCUAGAAUACCUAUUUUUGAAAUAAGCUGUUCUUAUUUACAUACAUGAACAUACAUGGGCAGACGAUGAAUAUUCGCGAGUAUGAAAUAAAUAAAAUAUACUAUUAUCACUACAACAAAAUUAGGUUAUAGGGACACAUGUUUGGGACACUUUUGAAUAAGUGUCCCAUUUAUACUAAAACUUAAAAAAAUAUCUACUAAUGCCUAAAUAUAAAGCCCAAUCCAACCAAAAAUAAAAAAUUACUCUACUCAACCCACCACAUCCAGUCCAUUUGACCCGAUUACAAACAGAAAAAAAAAAAGAAAAAUCAAUUACCAUCUUUUCUUCUUUCUUCACUCAAUCCACCGAAAUUCUAUACGAAGAGCCUUUCCUGUCGUCCUCCUCCGCCACCGCAGCCAACAAGAUAGAGUUUCGGCGUUUGCUAAAUACUUAAAUAAGUGUUGGUAAAUUAGCAACAUUUUUUUAGGUUAUAGCGACACUCUUUAACUGUCACUAUAUACCUAGCAACCCCACAUAUAGCAACACUUUUUAAAGUGUCGGUAAUUUUAGCUAGUAGUAUUUUUUUGACAUGUACCUAUAUUUAAAAGUAUCGCUAUAAACCGUUUUUGUUGUAGUUUAUUAUCUUAUAUAAAGGGCGUACUUGGAGUGGAUUUACAGCAUGCAUGGCCCAUGUGCUCCUCUCAUUCGACACGUCAUCGAAACCCUCCACUUUUCUCUCAGAUUAUACUCUAGAAUUUCUAUCUCUGAAAUAAACAAUUUUUAUUUAUAUCUGAACCAAAUGAAGCAUUAAACUUUAUACAUGAACAAACGAUGAAUAUUGACGAGUACGAAAUAAAUAGGUAUAUUAUUAUUAUUUAUAUGGAUUUGCAGCAUGGCCCACGUGCUCCUCGUUCGACACGUCGAUAACGCGACAAAACCCUCAAUUUUUCUCUCUGAUUAAGAGGGGAUGCAUACCAAGCAUGCAUCCUUUUUAUUUCCCCACCCCUACACAUGAUCUCUCUCAUUGCAUGCACGUCCAUUGGUCCACCGCCUUAGCUUAUUGAAUGUAAGUAACAAAACCUACUAGUAUAGGACCUGCGCUUUGCGACGAAUAGAUAGUAUUUUAAUCGUUGAAAGGAGAAGAGUGUUGCAGCGAAUUAAACUAAAAAUUUUAUUAAAUAUUUUUAAACUAAAUUUUGGUAGUGUAUUAUUUUCCACAUAUUUACAAUAGUCUAUAUAUAAGAACAAAUCAAAAAAUCCUAAUAGCAAUAAUUGAAUAAAGAUUUAAACUUAUCUCUUAUGUUUAACCAAUAAAAUAUUAAGAGAUAAACUUGAUAGAAAUGAAUGUGAACUUAUCAAAAAUGUUUGGUUACUUAUCAACAUUAACCAAUUAACAUGUACAUGUUUAUUAAAAUUUUAAUUUUAAAAAAUUAUAGCUAAAAAAAUGUAUGUACAUUAUAAAAAAUAAUUUUUUAUUAAUAAUUUUUUAUUUUUAAUAUUUAUGCAGUUAAAUUAUUCUAAUAACUUUAUUUUAAAAUUUUAAUUAAAUUUAAUGGUUUUGAUAGCUAUUUUAUAAAAAAAAAAUUUUAACUAAAAAGUUAAAGUUGGAGGACUUAUAUUAGAUGAUUUUAUCUUAUUAAAACUAAACUUUAUUUAUGUUAAAGUCAAAUUAAAAAAUAUAUGCGGAUGUCUUAUAUACCGAAUGUACAGCUUUUUAUGCACUGUAUUUAUAAAAUUUUGUUAUAAAAGUAAAAAUCUAUUAAUUUUGUAUCUAGAUUUUUUACAUAUUAUAAAUUAUAUUUAUCAGAUAAAAUUUUAAUUUUAUUAUAUUAAUUAUUAAAACAUAGCGUUGGAUCAUAUGAUGAAUUUUUAGAGAAACGAAAAAAGUGGGCUCUACUGAUUUGCCGCAAUACCAAGUGAAUAAUUUUUUUUGCACCGUAUUUAUAAUAUUUUAUUAUAAAUAUUAAAAUAUAUUAAUUUUUGUAUUUAUAUUGUUUUAUAUAUUAUAAAUUGUAUUUAUCACAUAAUUUUUUAAUUUUAUUAUAUUAAUUAUUUAAAAAUAAAUUUGAUUUAUAUGAUAAAAUUUUACACCUGAUGUAUGCUAAAACAAAAUAGAAAGUGUUGGUUCACAUGAAUGAGAGAGAGAGGACAGAAAAAAGUAGGGUCCACCGAUUUGUCCCAAAACCGGAGAGCAUGGUUUUACACUUUUCGGAUUCCCCUUUUAUGUUUUCAGAGAAUAAUGAUUAUUUUAUAUUAUUUAAUUUAAUAUAUAAUAUAUAAUAUUAAAGCAGGAGAUAUUAUAAGUUUGAAUAUUGUUAGGCUCUUAGUCUCAUAUUGUUUAAUUUUUUUUAUUUAAUUCAUGUCUAUGUCUCAAAUCUAUAAAAAAAAUUUUAAAGUCCAAACAUGUAGGAGAGUGUUGAAUGUGAAAAAAGAAUAAAAAUAUGCAGAAUUUAUCUGAAUUAUGGAUCAUUUUGAGUUGACUAUUUAAUCUUUCGAAAUUUUGAUUUUAUCGUUCAAUCUUUAAAUUUCUUUGAUUUCGGUCGGUAAACGAUUUUUUAACUUCAAAAUUUGAAUGUUUCGUUUAUCUUUAUAAAUUUAGUUAGCAUACUUCACGCAAUUAUCGCAACUGUAAAUUUAUUAAAAUAAAUAAUUAGCUUAAAUUUUGAAGUCAAAAUUCUAUAUACUGAUUCAAAUCAAACAAAUUGACAGGUUGGAUAAGAAAAAUUUUGGAUAAUCAACUCAAAAUGAUUCAUAGUUCAGAAAAGUUUUGUAUGUUUUUACUAAUAAUAAAAAUACUAUAUUUUCUGAUAGUUUAAUUUUUUUUUAGGAAUUAAUGAUUAUUUUAUUUUUUUAAGAAUUAAUGAUUAUUUUAUAUAAUUUAAUAGUAGCUUGGGAAUAUACUAUACUAUCACCAUUCACCCAAUAAAUUAACGUUUUCCAUGAUUUAAAUAUUAUUAUUUUUUUAAGACUAACUGAGAUUCUAAAUAGGGAAUUUUGUAAAGUUAGAAAAAUUUUGGUUCACAGAUGACAACAUGGUGGAAGAUGUAUAGAGAAUACUAUCUCUUCUCAUGUGUUUCUGGUGAAAUUGUUGCCUACUUGGUGUAUAGUACAUGUUGGUACAACUUAUACAAUAUAUACACCUUAAUUAAAUACUAAAAUAGAGGACUCAAAGUUCUAAAUCUAACUCAAUUGAAUAUUUUUAUGCAAUAUUAAAAAUCUUACAUGUUAGAUAUUUGUUUUUCAUUUUUACAAAUCAAAUAAUGCUCCUAUCUCUGCUGUUAAUUUUGAUUAAUGUAUAGUUAAUCAAAAAAUUUUGAAUUUUGAAUAUAGCUAAUAUAACAACAAUUUAAGAUCAGAUCAUAUAUAUCUCGAUCAUUAAUCUAAACUUUAAGACUAAAUUAUACGUCUCAGAUGUUCAGCUCAAGUAAAAAAUUCUUAAAAUCUCGUGCUUUUUAGUACUCAAUAUAUAUUGGUAUAUAACCUUGUAAAAGUCCUUUUGUAUUUUAUAGAUGUAUAAAAAAAAAAAGUUAAUUAGGCUCUUCAAAAUUUUUUGCAUGUAGCUAGACUCCUCGAGUAAGUUUUCUUUUCUUCUUCUUUAUUUUUUUAUAAUAACAUAUCAUAUAUUAUUAUUAUUAUUACUAUUACUACUACUAUUAUUAUAAUUAUUGUUAUCGUGCAUGUAACUACACAAAUAUAUGGCGUAGUGACAAAGACCAAUUUAGGGUUAUAUGUUUUGAAGAAACACGAUCCAACCAAACUGAAUCGAAAUUUCGUUGAGUUCAGUAAUUCUUGUAAUUAGCGCGAUAAAUUUUUAAAUAGUCAUAACCUUUUCGCUAGCUUGAGUAUAUAUCUGAUUUUAACGUGCAAUCUCAAUUCGAAAUAUACUUUCGAGAUCUACGCAUCAAAUGGCCUUAGCCACUUUGGCUGAGUUUGAGACCCAAAUUCAAUUGUUUCGAUCUCUGUUUUUAUAUUCUUAGUUUAUUUUUGAAAAAUUCUGCAUUUUUUUUUACUUUUAUAUGAUCAUUUAAUUAUUUUUUAAUCUAAUUAGGUUUAGAGAUAUAUUGGAAUUUAUUAUUUUCGUCUAGUAAGAUUCAAAAUUUAUUUUUUAUAAUACAUAAACGUGACGUUCGGUUAAUGUAAUUAGAGAUUUUGAAAGUUGAUUAAUAAUAUCUUAUCUUUGUCGAAAAUUUGAUUUUUCAUGUAUCAUCUCUUUCCGUCUGUUUUUUUUCUCUCUCAACGCAGCUUUAGGUGUGCAUCUGUUAAAGUUAAAUUAGUAUCAUUCAUGCUAUUUGACUUGGCCACCCAGUUGUUUGAAGAAUCAAAAUACAUUCUCGGACGUCAACUUACAAGUCAAAAAUCGAUUCAACAAAAAAACAAAGAAAAAAAAAAAAAACUUUAAGAGCCUGUUUGGAUGCACAAUAAAAAAUCUCCAUGGAAUUUAUAAACUGUGGUUUUGGUCCAAAUGAAGUAAGAAAUCCUGUAAUUCUAAAAAAGUCCACUGAUUCAAUUUUUAAAAUUUAAAAUUUAAAUAAAAUUUAAAAUUUGAUAUGUGAAAUGUGAAAUUUUAAAUUUUAAAUUCUAAAUUUUAAAAUUUGAAAAUUAAAAUUUUAAAAUAUAAAAAUCUAAAUUUAAUUUUAAAAUUUUAAAAUUUUAAAUUUUAAAAUAAAAAAUUUUAAAUUUUAAAUUGAGAAUUUAGAAUUUUAAUUUUUAAAAAUAAAUUUAAAAUUUAAAGUUCAAAAUUUGAAAUUUAAACUAUGAGAUUUGAGAUUUGAAAUUUAAAAUUUAUAAUUUAUAAUUUAAAAUUUAAAAUUUAAAAUUUAUUAAUUUAAAAUUUAAAAUUUAAGAUUUAUUAAUUUAAAAUUUAAAAUUUAUUAAUUUAAAAUUUAAAAUUUAAAAGUUAAAAGUUAAAAUUUGAAAAUUAAAAUUUAAAAUUCAAAAAUUACGUUAUUUGUUUUAAUAUAGUUUAACUAUACUCCAAAAAUUACGUGUUUUUUUUUUUUUCCAAUCUCUUUAUAGGAUAAUUUUUCCUACCGGUGUAGUAUAGUUUAACUAUGCUACGUUUUUAGGGAUAUCCAAACGGGGUCUUGGUAGUUAAUGAUUGUUUAUUUGUAUAAUUUUAGGAUGCUUAUUACUCUUUAAUUACUGCUUAUGGCAACCAUCUCUAAGGCACACUAAUCAAUUAAAUACAAACAAAACAUUUUAGGACAAGAACAAAAGUUUCAAUGUCUCCCACUCUAGAUCAACAAGGAAAGGGACUUCAAACUAAUGUCUCACACUCUAGAUCAACUAGGAAAGGGACUUCAAACUAAUGUCUCCCACUCUAGAUCAACAAGGAAAGGGACUUCAAACUAAAACAAAGACCAAGAUAAGCUAAUUCAUUAUUGGAGUGCAAGUCAAUUGCUGGCUGGUGUUCAACUGUUCCACUUGGGCUUUAUUUGGAAAUGCCGCAGCGCGUGCAAGAAUCAAAAAUCGAUCGGUCAAACUGCUCGUACAGUUGAUAAAAAUACUAUAUUUUAUGCUAACGAUAGUAAAUUCUUGAUAAAAGUUGUUGAUGUAUAUAUGUUUUGUACUAAUCUUGCCAAUUUAACAUUAGAGUUUUUGAAAAAACGUGACUUAGCCAAGUUGAGUCGAAAAUUACGAUGAAUUUGAUAAUUUUUACAAUAAGUGUGAAAAGUCUUUAAAUGGUUUUCGUGUAUCUCUUUUUUUCCGUCCUUAUGCUUCUUCCCUCUCAACACGAUUUAGGUCUGCGUCAUGCACUACAACAGAAUUAGGUUAUAGGGAUACAUGUUUGGGACACUUUUGAGUAAGUGUCCCAUUUAUACUAAAACUUAAAAAAAUAUCUACUUAUGCCUAAAUAUAAAGCCCAAUCUAACCAAAAAUAAGAGAUUACUCUACUCAACCCACCACACCCAGUCCAUUUGAGCCGAUUACAAAUAGAAAAGAAAAAAAAAGAAAAAUAAAUUACCAUUUUUUCUUCUCUCUUCACUCAAUCCACUGAAAUUUUAGACGAAGAGCCUUUCUUGUCGUCCUCCUCCGCCACCGCAGCCAACGAGAUAGAGUUUCGGCGGUUGCUAAAUGCUUAAAUAAGUGUUGGUAAAUUAGCAGCACUCUUUUAGGUUAUAGCGACACUCUUUUACUGUCACUAUAUACCUAGCGACCCCACAUAUAGCAACACUUUUUAAAAGUGUCGGUAAUUUUAGCUAGCAGCACUUUUUUGACUUGUACCUACAUUUAAAAGUGUCGCUAUAGACCGUUUUUGUUGUAGUGGAUAUGUACGCAUUCUAAAUUAAAAAAAUUAUAAUUUC
rnacentral:lncRNA from 1 species